rnacentral:rRNA from 1 species
UCUAAUGUAUAUGCACAAUCAGCCCAAGACCGGUUACUCACUGAAGCUAAGCAGGGCUGAGCCUGGUCAGUACCUGGAUGGGAGACCACUAGGGAACACUAGGUUGCUGUUGGAA